AGAGUUUGAUCCUGGCUCAGGAUGAACGCUGGCGGCGUGCUUAACACAUGCAAGUCGAACGAAGCAUUUUCUCAUCUUCGGAAGAGGAAAUGACUGAGUGGCGGACGGGUGAGUAACGCGUGGGGAACCUGCCUUAUACAGGGGGAUAACAGCUGGAAACGGCUGCUAAUACCGCAUGACCCGCUAGUGCCGCAUGGCACGGACGGAAAAGAUUAUAUCGGUAUAAGAUGGACCCGCGUCUGAUUAGCCAGUUGGUGGGGUAACGGCCUACCAAAGCAGCGAUCAGUAGCCGGCUUGAGAGAGUGAACGGCCACAUUGGGACUGAGACACGGCCCAAACUCCUACGGGAGGCAGCAGUGGGGAAUAUUGCACAAUGGGGGAAACCCUGAUGCAGCAACGCCGCGUGAAGGAAGAAGUAUUUCGGUAUGUAAACUUCUAUCAGCAGGGAAGAAAAUGACGGUACCUGACUAAGAAGCCCCGGCUAACUACGUGCCAGCAGCCGCGGUAAUACGUAGGGGGCAAGCGUUAUCCGGAUUUACUGGGUGUAAAGGGAGCGUAGGUGGCAUGGCAAGUCCGAUGUGAAAGCCCGUGGCUCAACCACGGGACUGCAUUGGAAACUGUCAGGCUGGAGUGCAGGAGAGGUAAGUGGAAUUCCUAGUGUAGCGGUGAAAUGCGUAGAUAUUAGGAGGAACACCAGUGGCGAAGGCGGCUUACUGGACUGUAACUGACACUGAGGCUCGAAAGCGUGGGGAGCAAACAGGAUUAGUUUCCCUGGUAGUCCACGCCGUAAACGAUGAAUACUAUUUGUCGGGAAGCUAAAGCUUUUCGGUGCCGCAGCAAACGCAAUAAGUAUCCACCCUGGGGAUAUCGGUAA
rnacentral:rRNA from 1 species